CUGUCAUUCCAGUGUUGCUGUGAAGUUGCUGCAGGAGGACUGCUUGAGGCCAGGAGUUUGAGACCAGCCCGGUCAACAUAGUGAGAUCUGUCUCUACAGAAAAAAAAAAAAAAAAAAAAAAAAUUAGCCAGGCCUGGUGGCAUGCCUGUAGUCCCAGCUAUUCAAGAGGCUGAAGCAGGAGGAUCACUUGAGUCUAGGAUUUCAAGGCUGCUGCAGUGAGCUAUGAUCAUGCUACUGCACUCUGCUUUGGGAACAGGGGGAAACUCUGUUUAAAAAAGAAAAAGAAGGCCGGGCACUGUGGCUCACGCUGGUAAUCCCAGCACUUUGGGAGGCCGAGGCCGGUGUAUCACUUGUGGUCAGGAGUUCGAU
rnacentral:lncRNA from 10 species